rnacentral:sRNA from 12 species
GGCUUCAACAUCCCCGUUUUUUCAUCCCGUUUCAUCACGGUCAGGCUGCCGCUGUUCUGGCCUGCCGCAAGAAGCCAUUUCCCGGAUGGGGAGAGGCUGAAGCC